rnacentral:tRNA from 5 species
GGACCCGUAGCUCAGCCAGGAUAGAGCGCCGGCCUUCGGAGCCGGUGGUCCCGGGUUCAAAUCCCGGCGGGUCCG